AAUUUGCUAUAUAUAUAUAUAUAUAUAUAUAUAUAUAUAUAUAUAUAUAUAUAUAUAUAUAUAUAUAUAUAUAUAUAGCUCAAAUUGAGUAAAGAGCGUUUUUUACAACUUACCAGAUUGUCCGACCUCCUCACUCACUUUCUUUCAAGCAAAAUACUUUUUAUUUUGUUUUUUUAAUAAAAGUAGGAAGAUGUGUUGUACAGCUCCGGGUGUCCACAUACCGCGACUGUGAUUUGAUCCCCCAUUGUUGUUUCGUAUUUAAGCCUCUGCUCGCUACACCGUGAUCACGUCACUACUUGAGCAAGCUCCUGAUUGGUUAAGGUGGGGCGAAUCUCCAAAAUGUAGAUAUUUUUUACUUGCGUGAUUUAUGCGAAAUAUGCUUCGUUUACACCAACCGCGUUUCAGGCGUCAAAAUCGUGUCUACCGCGCCUAGUUUGCCGCUUGAACAGUUUGAAUGCAUUCGCGCAUCAAGAGCGAAGCAGACGCGCAAAAAAGCAAACAUUUGACGUGCGUCAAGCAAAAUCCGCUUCUUGUGGGAGGGGCAAGUGCUAUGCGUUUGUCUCAAGCGCGCCGCACAAGCUCUGAAUGCGUGAUUUAUGCGAAUUAUGCUGUGUUUACACCAACCGCGUUUCAGGCGUCAAAAUCCCGUCUAACGCGCCUAGUUUGCCGCUUGAACAGUUUGAAUGCAUUCGCGCGUCAAGAGUGAAGUAGACGCGUGGAUUAAGCAAGCAUUUGACGUGCGUCAGAAGCAAAAUCCGCUUCUUGUGGGAGGGGCAAGUGCUAUGCGUUUGUCUCAAGCGUGCCGCACAAGCCCUGAAAAGUGAAGCCAAAACGUCUCGAUCGCCCCCCAGUGACUGGUCCCAGUAUAGGUCAUAAACCCCGCCUCCCCAUGUUAUUCAAUGGGACUUGAGACCAACUAAAAAAAUUAAUUACACUUCAAUUAUCUUUUUUCUGAAGCUGGUUUCUGUCAUUUAUUGUAGUUUUUAUCACACUGAUGUAAAUUCAAAUGUUUGUCUUUAAAAUAAGUUUGUGUUUAGUUAGUUAUUUAGUGAUAUAAAAACGGUGGUGUCACGUCAUGAUUGACAGCUGUGAUAUCGUGUGAUAUGCGGAUUUUGCGAGAUUGAGGGCGGGGUUUUGAUUUCGCGGCUUCACUUCCUGCACACUACUGUGCAUGACUGGUCCCGAAAUCGCUACUGCGCAGACUCAAGGCCCAAGAUGUCAGCGUCGUAUCGGGACACUGGUGGCUUCACUUUUCACCAAUGGAAGGGAGUGAACAGGCGUCGUCCAUCUUUUUUUACAGCCUAUGGUUUGUCUGUUUGCAGAAUGACUGAUGUUGAUUGUCCAUUUAUUGAAAGAGUUAACGGUUUGUAUUUAGUCACCUUGCUGUAGGGGGAAAAUAAACGGUGUGGGUCGAUAAACGUCACGUGACUCAAAAGACAAAUGUGUAUUUACAACUUACCAGGUUGCCCAAUGUCCUCACUGACAUUCUUCCAAGCGAGGUCCUUUUUAUUCCUGUCUCUAUAUAAUUAAGAACUUGUGUUGUAUAGCUCUGGGUGUCUGCUCAUAGACAAUAUCAAACCUUCAUGCUGAAUGAGUGACUCUGGGCGGGGCUACCUCCACAGCAGCAAGCAGGCUCCUGAUUUAUUUAACACAAAAAAGCGCCAUUUGCACGAACUAGACGUGCGAAUGAGGCGGAAACGCGUCUACCGCACCGCGCUAAACGCCUCAUCCGCGCUGCGGGACCUCCAGACGCGCGUCAACGCAUCUUCACAUUGACUUAACAUUGAAAUCACUCCCGCUUGCUGCCUCUAUGGCGUCUGGUGUAAAUGCAGCAUCACGCGUUAUGCACGUCAGACAUCCGAUACGCUCAAUUUGUGCCGUGUAAUUUGCGCCACUUCAUUCGCAUGAAUCGUGUCUAUAGCUUUUUUGCAUUAACUUAACAUGUAAAUCACUCGCGCUUGACGUUUAAUUUCAUCUGUUAUGAUCGCACCAUAAAAUGUACAAUAUUAUUUUACAUUCAUUGUGUUUUACUUGUUUAGAACAACAUAAUAUGGAUACAUAAAAAUGUCAUUCACAUCAUGGAUGGUUUAAAUGACAUUUUGCUAAAGUCUUCCAGAAACACACACUGGCAGGUGAACUGAAACAGAUUUGGCAAUAUUCUUUCAGUGUUAUUUUGUUUGGUUUCAUUAUGGGAAUCAUUUCAUGUUGCUAUUUUACUGAAAUAAUCAUUCAAUAAUAUGUUGCCAUAUUCAACUUAAGAUGUCCUGGUAAAUGUGCCAAAAGCAAUACUCAGCAGUAAAUGCUCUCUAGAUAGACGAAACCUUUAAGCUGUUGCUUUAUUGUCUGUAAUGGUUAAUGUUAUUGAAUAGAUAGAGAUACCAGACUUUGGUUAUAAGCAGUGCCUGUAUUAUAAUGCAAAGCUUCUUUAGAUAUUUGUUUAUAAUAAUGAAGUCAGAGGAAGGGUGUGAAUGCAGAGCUCCUCAACGCACAAAACAUGAAAUAAUUCAGAUGAAUGUCAACCUGCAUAUACUGAAGGAAUAAUAAUAUUUAAGUAGGAAAAAUUAAAGUAUACUUAACAUUUUAAACCAUUAUUCCUAAAAACAUAUCUACUGUAUAUAUAUAUAUAUAUCCUUUGAUAUUUAAAUGUUACGGCCUUAAUGUGUACUAUGCCAUCCAUUGAAUCACAAAUUUCCUUACUACUUCUUUUAUAUCUUCUGGUUUGAGAUUGUUUAGAAAACAAGAAUGAUACAAGAUUUUUGUAUUGUCAGAACACUGGAAGAACCCUUAUACCUUGAAAACCUCAACAACAAAAAAAGAUAACAAUGUAUUAUUUGAACACUGGUUUGGGUUUUGCUUACAUACUUUAGUGUAAAAGUGACUGUAUGUGUAUGUAUGUAUAAGCUGUGCUGUUACUGUAUAUUUCUACUGUUAUAAAACAGAGGUACUGAGAUGUUGUUUAUGGCUUUUGAAAAGCAUUUAAUGUCUGCCACUAUCAUGUAAGUGCAUGGAUUACUGUACUGUAUGUGUUGUUUCAUAGACCUAUGCAAAGGUUAUUUUCGCUUUAGAAAUCACGCUGAAAGAUAACGAAGGCCGAGUCGUAGCGUUGUUAAGUGCCUUACAAUACAAACCUGUUACUUACAGAAAUAGUUCACCUAGAAAUGUUUAAUUCAUCUUUUAUAUUCAACCUCAUGUGUUGUGUUAGGACUUGCAGAAUGUUAAUAUUGUUGUAAAGUCUAAAAUCCAUGCAAUACUAUUAUAUUGUUAUUUGUUUAAAGUAUACUGGGUAGCAGCAUCACAUGAGGUUGAGAAAAUAAUGACAGGACUGAACUGUUCCUCUAAACGAAGAUGUGUUGGUCAUGUAUAUUUUAGACUUGGACUGUAGUCAAUCCUGGAGUGAAGUACUGUAUAUGGGAUUUUGUAGUUUGGUUGUGUGAUUUCAAGACUUAACAUGUGUUCUUACAGCACAACAAAACAUGCCAGGCUGUCAAGACCAGUGUGUAUUACGCCUACUAGAAACUACUGAAAGUGUAAUGAUAGUGUUGACUACUAAACCAUUGCCAAAUUCUAAGUGAAAGUGUCUGAAUAUGUAGUGAAGCUCUUAUGUAUCUUCUUGUAGAUUUAGGGUAAACGGUCUGUUACUGUAGUUUGUUUCUGAGCAAUAAUUCAGACAAUCAGGUAAGAGGUCAAGCACAAAGCUCCUGUAUGAAUGCGUCUAAAAGCUUCCCUAAAAAACUACAACUGAAUGUCUUUUAAUAACAAAUACAAACUCAUCUGAUGACUUUUAUAAGUGUUGGGUUUCCUUGACUGAUUUUUUUGUUAUACUUUUGUAUUAUGUUUGUUUCUAAAGCUUAACCAAACUUUAUUUAUGAAAAAGACUUGUGUGUUGUCAUUUUUGGUUGAAUUUCCUAUUAAAGAAUUAACUUCAUAUAAAUGGAAGUCAGCCCACUCUUCACCUUUCAUUCAGAAAGUUUUUUUUUUUUAAUUGUGAAAGAAUAAGUAGAUUGUCAAUUGUGUCUGUUUCACUGAUGGGUUAAAAUGUGACAAGUGUAUGAGGAAUGAAAGUGUCCAUUAAAAUAAUAUUGAGUGCUUUUUACAA